rnacentral:rRNA from 1 species
UUCCUAUGGGAGGCAGCAGUGAGGAAUAUUGGUCAAUGGUCGGGAGACUGAACCAGCCAAGCCGCGUGAGGGAUGAAGGUACAGAGUAUCGUAAACUUCUUUUAUAUGGGAAUAAAACAGGGUAUGCAUACCCUCUUGUAUGUACCAUAUGAAUAAGGAUCGGCUAACUCCGUGCCAGCAGCCGCGGUAAUACGGAGGAUCCGAGCGUUAUCCGGAUUUAUUGGGUUUAAAGGGAGCGUAGGUGGAUUGUUAAGUCAGUUGUGAAAGUUUGCGGCUCAACCGUAAAAUUGCAGUUGAAACUGGCA